rnacentral:lncRNA from 1 species
CAUGGCCAGCAAGUUGUUCCAGCACCUCUUAUAAACGGUUGAUCUUUCUGGCCACUUGCUCACAUGCUGUCUUCAGUGAUAUUUGGGCCAAUUCCUGGACUCAAGAUUUUGUUCCUUUUUUUUUUUUUCUGUGGUUCUUUGGCGCUAAGACCACACUGUUUUAAUUACUGUGGCUUUUAAUAUCCCAGAUAACCUCAUGACUCACCUUCUGCAGGUCUUUACUCAAAUACAGCCUUUUCUGUGAGAUCUUCCUCAAGCACCCUAUUUACAAUGCUGGCUUCCCUCUACCCCAACCCCUGCCCGCAACCACCUCCAUAUAGUCUCUGCUUUGCUUUAUUCUUCUCCUUAUCACAUGUUACCAUCUGUUAAUCGACAUAUUUUACUUAUUCAUUUGCGUACUGUCUGCAUAUCUAGACUAAGUUUCAUGAGAUGAUAAGUCCAUGAAAACAGGGAUUUUCAUUUCUUUGACUCACUUUUGUAUCCCCGGUGCCUGGAACACUGCCAAGCACAGAACAGAUUCCCAAAAAUAUUUAUUGAAUGAAUGACAAACCGGUAGAGAAAAACAUCCUACAUACAACCACUCCCCACCCCGAUUUUUUUUUCGAGAAUUCGUUGGCUCUUUUUACACAAUCUUUUGUCAUGAAAUAUAGUGCUAAAUUGACCAAGUCAAAAAGAAGAUCCAUGGGAUUUUGAAUGGGCCCAUGUUGAAUACACAGGUUAAUUUAGGAAGAAUUGACAACUUUACAGCUUUGAUUAUUUCCGAGGAAGAUCCAGUUAUUUCCCUAUUUUUUCAAGCCUUCUUUUAUUCCCUCAGUGUAGCAAAAUGAUUUUCUUUGUAAAGGCCCUAUGAAUUUCAUAUGAAGAUUGUUCCCAAUCAUGUUGUGAUGUUUUGUUAUUCAUUCACUUAUUCAAUAAAUGCUUCUUGUUGUCAAUCAUGUGCCAGACACUGUUCUAGGAGCUGGGAAUGCAGCAGUGAACAAAAAAUUGUUCUCUGCCCUCAUGGAUGUCAUGUUCUAAUAAGAAUGGAAUUCUUUUUUCCCUUAUAUUUUUUAACUAGCAAUAUUUGGUAUAAAAGAGAGCUAUUGAGUUUGGGGUACUUCUUUUAACAUAUCUUCUUACUAAAUUCUCUCAUCAUUUCUUUUUUUAAAGACUUUUAUUUUUCCCAUUAUAGUUGGUUUACAGUGUUCUGUCAAUUUUUUACUGUAUAGCAAAGUGACCCAAUCUCUCUCUCUCUCUCUCUCUCUCUCUCACUCUCACACACACACAUAUUUUUCUCACAUUAUCCUCCAUCUUUUUCCAUCACAAAUGACUAGAUAUAGUUCUAUUUUCCCCUUUUAUCUGUUGGCAAAAUGAAGUUUUCCAAUACAGUCCCUGUAUUUAUCCACAAUUGGAUUUCUGGAAAUUAAUUCCAUAUUUUUAGUCAAGAAGAAAAGUCACAAUUUUUUUUAAAUAUUUAGGACUGUAUAAUAUACCAGAAAUGAAUUUAGGUAUCAAAUUAUCUGAUAUGAUCCAAAUAUCUGAUAUGAUACAAUUGACAAUAGUUGUAUGCAACUGAUGCAAGUCAUUUUGAGAAAAUAUUAAUUUUUUUCUCUUUGCUGGCAGACUGUUUAGGAACCUAACUCCCUGAGUCAGCUACUGUUGAGUCUAUUUUUUUAAUAAAACAUAAAACCAUGGUUCUCCAUUGAAAGUUAGAGAACAUAAAAUCUACUGAUUUCUUUUAUAUUACUUUCUGUUUGCCAAUUACUUGUACAAACACUGAAGUAGCUAAAGAUUUAAUUUGCAUAUCCAACCACAAUAAAACAAGGAUGCCUGAGUAAAGUCUUACAUCACAGCUGUAAACUAAGAUUUUCUGAGGAGUUACAUUUGUCCUAAUAAUAUAAGACAGGGAUUAAGAGCAAUUAUACAACACCCAUUUCUGCAACUAAAGAAAUGAGGUUUGGCAGCCUGAAGAGUCUUGAGCAUGCUAACGCUGUCAGUAGCAGAGCGUGGACAAAAACUUUAGUUUUCUGCUUCACAUCAAAUACUCUUUCCACCGUGCUCUCCCUUUCAUUCGGCAUUACCUGCGUCACUAGAAACACUCAAAUAUGUUUCUUCACUUACCUAGAAAUUGUUGUGUUACCUUUGCCUAUUAUUUUAGGAGGAAAUCAUUUCUUAUAAAAUUCACAUAUGGCUUUUGAUUUUGUGGCAUCCUUUUCCUGGAGGUUCAAAGAAUGAGCGUAUGCUUGAAGAGUAAAUUCUUACAACAGGUCUGUGGGGCGGGGGUGUGGGGAGCAGAAAUGAUGAGUCUCCUGUGAUAUAAAUCAACAUUCUAAUCGUUAAAAAAUAGAUGCACUCAUUCAUAAGUGUCACAAAACACUCCAAACUGAAUAGGAAGGAAUAUCUGAAUGGAACUGAUAACAGCCAAGCCUGAAGAGGAAGCACAACAGCCCAUUACGAGCUAUUGAAAAUUUCCAUAGAGAGAAAAAAAAAAUGACAUACAGCAGGAAAUUCCUGACCAGUAGUGUAAUCUCUUACAUAAAAUGUGUUGGCAGAUAAAUGGAUUUUUAUGAUUUUGCUUACAC